CAGAUAAAUACAAUGUGGCAUCGAUGAUAAAGAUGGAUGGCCUAACCAGUAGAGGGGGUUCGGGGGCUCUUUAAGUGGUGAGCCGGGUGCCGGCCGGCAGGGAGUGAAAUCUGUGCCUUAAAUGUUCGCUUUUAUGUGCUAGAUUUGUGUCACUUUGAAGGGACUCUUAAGUAUUUCUGUGUGUACUGAGAGUGUUUUUAGAUCCAAUGAGUGACGUCAUGGCGCGAGCGUGCCUCAUGAGCACGUGACCGGAGUGUUCGCAGCAAGCCUCAAAGCGGCGCUUCCAGCUGUUGAAAGCCUUCUCGGCGUGUAGUCACCACGCUUGGCGAGCUCGACGUGUCAGGAGUGCGCAGCCCAUCGCUUACUUUCAGCUCGGCGGGACUGCGAGAAUAAAUACGGUGUCCAAGAGCGGAUAGCUGUGAGCCGCUUCCGUCAUCAGGCAGAAAUCGUGCGAAACGGCAGCUGUUUGAAUUACUGGACUGUGGCUUGGUGAAGUGUGCUCGGCGUAAUCACAGGACAGUAAGGACACCUCGGGAUGGCAGCGUGGCAUCUUCGGAUAGACGCCAGUCAGGAUGACAGGUGUUGGGGCAGACGCCGGGGACCAGCUGGCCUGUCUGUGAAAGACGAGCGUGGCGGUCAAGGCUGGAAACGUGAACCAUGAAGACACCAAGGUCCUGCAGAUCCUAUGGGUGUCUGGUGGAGCCCAUUGAUGGAUCAACAUCCAGUCUAAAAUGCGGUGAAUGGCACAGGCUCUGGUGAGGCAGCAGGAUACAGCAGGUAGAUUGUGUAUAAUAAUAAUAAUAAAAAUGGUGUAAUUGUAAGAAUGAAAUGUUUAUUAAGAAGUGAAGCACAUUUUAAAAUGUUGAAGUGCAUGAUUCUCAUUGCAUUAACAGUACAUGUAAUAACUCUGUGAUGCAGCAAAGCCAUUUCACGCAGUAUAAUGAGACAUUAAAAUGGCCAGUCUCCAAGAACUACUGAGUGACACUGAGCUGUAACUAAACGCACACGUCUGUGCCAGGAAUUAGGGAGCGGACGGUUUUUGAGGGAUGCAUUUCUGGUCACUUCUAUGUGCUUUAUGGGUAAAGGGUCCUCUUUGAAAGAAGUCAACAUUUCAUUAUUUUUAUAUUUGUUUCUAGUUUUCUUAUUUUCACCACAUACCUCCAGUAUUAGGUGGCCAGAGGCAAAUGCCAGAAGUAAAAUAAGAGUUUUUACAAUAAAAUCCAAACUCUGACAGUCGAGGAAGCCAAAGGUGGUGAGAAGAUGGAUGGAUGCCCUCCAUUGUAUACAUACCCUUGAUACCAGUACUUGAGAGGAUCUAUCGGUGCCAUGGUGCCCUCGCCCAGGUUGCCCAGGGCAGUUGUAAAAUGUCAUCGACAGAUGAAGACGCACUUAAAUGAUCUGGAGAAUCUUUUAACCUCUUAUACCCUGGGGGUAUUUUUCAGCAGUCGCCCCCUAAAGGGGAGUACCCCAAAAUAAAACCUUAAUAUUCAAAAAAAUAAAGGCAGGCCAUUCCAUGUUCUUCACUAAAACCUGCCAGAUGACUUCUCAAAGGUGAUGGUGUCUGUGUCUGUGUCCAACUGAAACGUUCCUUUAAACGGUCAUAUUUUCA